ensembl:lncRNA
GUCAGCUUUGGCAUCUCAACACAGCUGCUUUCCUGCCGAUAGGGGCAAGUCUUCAAAAUGUUCCACUAGUGCUCUCUGGUGGCUGAGGUAAUUAAUUGUACUGUAAGAGUGGACGUAAAUCAGGUGGAAGCCACAGAUGAACCCACUCUGUCACUCAGGCCAGCUACAGCUACAUCUACAGGCAUGGUGAGCAGUGGGAGAAGAGAAGGCCAAGCUACAGGCAUGGUGAGCAGUGAGAGAAGAGAAGGCCAAGCUACAGGCAUGGUGAGUAGUGGGAGAAGAGAAGGCCAAGCUACAGGCAUGGUGAGCAGUGGGAGAAGUGAAGGCCAAGCUACAGGCAUGGUGAGUAGUGGGAGAAGAGAAGGCCAAGCUACAGGCAUGGUGAGUAGUGGGAG